rnacentral:rRNA from 1 species
UACGUAGGGUGCAAGCGUUAAUCGGAAUUACUGGGCGUAAAGCGUGCGCAGGCGGUGAUGUAAGACAGAUGUGAAAUCCCCGGGCUCAACCUGGGAACUGCAUUUGUGACUGCAUCGCUGGAGUACGGCAGAGGGGGAUGGAAUUCCGCGUGUAGCAGUGAAAUGCGUAGAUAUGCGGAGGAACACCGAUGGCGAAGGCAUCCCUGGGCCUGAUCACGUGACGCUCAUGCACGAAAGCGUGGGGAGCAA